rnacentral:rRNA from 1 species
AUUGAACGCUGGCGGCAGGCUUAACACAUGCAAGUCGAGCGAGCGGCAGACGGGUGAGUCAUGUCUGGGAAACUGCCUGAUGGCGGGGGAUACCUACUGGAAACGGUGGCUACUACCGCAUACCAGCAACUGUUCCCUGAUGGGAUUAGCUAGUAGGUGGGGUAAUGGCUCACCUCGGCGACGAUCCCUAGCUGGUCUGAGAGGAUGACCGGCCACACUGGAACUGAGACACGGUCCAGACGCCUACGGGAGGCAGAAGUGGGGAAUAGUGCACAAUGGGCGCAAGCCUGAUGCAGCCAUGCCGCGUGUGUGAAGAAGGCCUUCGGGUUGUAAAGCACUUUCAGCGAGGAGGCGUUACUCGCAGAAGAAGCACCGGCUAACUACGUGCCAGCAGCCGCGGUAAUAC